AGUGAACGCUGGCGGUAGGCCUAACACAUGCAAGUCGAACGGCAGCACAGUAAGAGCUUGCUCUUACGGGUGGCGAGUGGCGGACGGGUGAGGAAUACAUCGGAAUCUACUUUUUCGUGGGGGAUAACGUAGGGAAACUUACGAUAAUACCGCAUACGACCUACGGGUGAAAGCAGGGGAUCUUCGGACCUUGCGCGAUUGAAUGAGCCGAUGUCGGAUUAGCUAGUUGGCGGGGUAAAGGCCCACCAAGGCGACGACCCGUAGCUGGUCUGAGAGGAUGAUCAGCCACACUGGAACUGAGACACGGUCCAGACUCCUACGGGAGGCAGCAGUGGGGAAUAUUGGACAAUGGGCGCAAGCCUGAUCCAGCCAUACCGCGUGGGUGAAGAAGGCCUUCGGGUUGUAAAGCCCUUUUGUUGGGAAAGAAAAGCAGCAGGUUAAUACCCCGCUGUUCUGACGGUACCCAAAGAAUAAGCACCGGCUAACUUCGUG
rnacentral:rRNA from 1 species